rnacentral:rRNA from 1 species
CUGAGAAACGGCUGCCACAUCCAAGGAAGGCAGCAGGCACGCAAAUUACCCACUCCCGGCACGGGGAGGUAGUGACGAAAAAUAACGAUGCGGGACUCUUCCGAGGCUCCGUAAUCGGAAUGAGUACACUUUAAAUCCUUUAACGAGGAUCAAUUGGAGGGCAAGUCUGGUGCCAGCAGCCGCGGUAAUUCCAGCUCCAAUAGCGUAUACUAAAGUUGUUGCGGCUAAAAAGCUCGUAGUUGGAUUUCAGUCGUAGGUCGGUGGUCCACCGCCCGGUGGCUACUGCCUGGCCUAGGCACCUUGCCGGCUCUCCCACGAUUCUCUUCACUGGGUGUCGUGGGUGGCCGGAACGUUUACUUUGAAAAAAUUAGAGUGCUCUAAGCAGGCGCCGCAGCCUGAAUAACACAGCAUGGAAUAAUGGAACAGGACCUUGGGUCUGUUUUGUUGGUCUUACGCCGCCAAGGUAAUGAUUAAUAGGGACGGACGGGGGCAUUCGUAUUGCGACGCUAGAGGUGAAAUUCUUGGACCGUCGCAAGACGAACUACUGCGAAAGCAUUUGCCAAGAACGUUUUCAUUAAUCAAGAACGAAAGUCAGAGGUUCGAAGGCGAUCAGAUACCGCCCUAGUUCUGACCAUAAACGAUGCCAACCAGCGAUCCGCCGGAGUUACUCCCAUGACUCGGCGGGCAGCUUCCGGGAAACCAAAGUGUUUGGGUUCCGGGGGAAGUAUGGUUGCAAAGCUGAAACUUAAAGGAAUUGACGGAAGGGCACCACCAGGAGUGGAGCCUGCGGCUUAAUUUGACUCAACACGGGACACCUCACCCGGCCCGGACACCGGAAGGAUUGACAGACUGAGAGCUCUUUCUUGAU